GAUGAACGCUGGCGGCGUGCCUAAUACAUGCAAGUCGAGCGAACGGACGAGAAGCUUGCUUCUCUGAUGUUAGCGGCGGACGGGUGAGUAACACGUGGAUAACCUACCUAUAAGACUGGGAUAACUUCGGGAAACCGUAGCUAAUACCGGAUAAUAUUUUGAACCGCAUGGUUCAAAGGUGAAAGACGGUCUUGCUGUCACUUAUAGAUGGAUCCGCGCUGCAUUAGCUAGUUGGUAAGGUAACGGCUUACCAAGGCAACGAUGCAUAGCCGACCUGAGAGCGGGUUCGGCCACUCUGGAACUGAGACACGGCCCAGACUCCGACGGGAGGCCGCGGCAGGGAAUCUUCCGCAAUGGGCGAAAGCCUGAAGGAGCAACGCAGCGUGAGUGAUGAAGGGCUUCGGAUCGUAAAACGCUGUUCUGAGGGAAGAACAUAUGUGUAAGUAACUGUGCACAUCUUGACGGUACCGAAUCAGAAAGCCCCGGCUACCUCCGG
rnacentral:rRNA from 1 species